rnacentral:lncRNA from 1 species
UUUUUUUUUUUUUGGAAAAUUAGAAAUUUGAAAAUGUGGGAGAGACAACAUAUACAAAUUUUGCUUCCACACUGUUAAGCAAGAGAUUGUGAUGCAAGCCACACCUUGUAGUAGUCGAAGGUUUGGAUGAACCAUAUAAAUUGAAUUUGCUUCGAACAGUCUUGAUCAAGAGUGUGUGAAACUUUCUACGAGUUGUAAUUGCCCUUCAUUGAUGAAGCUUUUGUUGGCACCAUAAAUUGGUUUUGCUUCACACUGUCUUGAUCAAGAGUGUGUGAAGGUUUUGAGAAUUGUGGUUGCCCUCUAUUGAUGAAGCUUUUGUUGGCACCAUAAAUUGGCUUUGCUUCACACUGUCUUGAUCAAGAGUGUGUGAAGUUUUUGAGAAUUGUGGUUGCCCUUCUUUGAUAAAGCUCUUGUCGGCACCAUAAAUUAGUUUUGCUUCACACUGUCUUGAUCAAGAGUGUGUGAGGCUUUUGAGAAUUGUGGUUACCCUCCAUUGAUGAAGCUCUUGUUGGCACCAUAAAUUGGUUUUGCUUCACACUGUCUUGAUCAAGAGUGUGUAAAGCUUUCUACGAGUUGUAGUAUUUGCAUUGUUACGGAGGGGAAAUGUCUGAAGCAGAUGCAAGAGGGCUGAAUAACUUGAUCUUCGUAUGCCAUGCACUGAAGUUGUUGUUGGCUUUCAAUAAGACUUUGUUGGUGACUAUAACUCUUGUUGGGCAUAAGUGCUCCCCUAGUUGAGUUGUCAAGCUUGACGGUUUUUGAUUAUUUGUGAAUGCUAGGAGUUCACAUGUACAAGUUGUACCACUCGUCUUCUGGUAGGUGGAAUAUAUGGUGAGUUGCUUUCAUCACAUGGUUGGUGGUACGAAGGUAAGUUCCUUCAUCACAUUUCAACACAUUUCAUCACCUUGUUGGUGGCAUGAAGGAUAGUAUGAGUUAUACAUUUCAUCACCUGGUUGGUGGCAUGAAGAUGAGUUCCUUCUUCACCUGGUUGGUGGCAUGAGUGGCAAGUUGCCGAAUGAUAUUAGAGUACGGGUUGUACAUUUCAUCACCUGGUUGGUGGCAUGAAGGAUAGUACGGGUUGUACAUUUCAUCACCUGGUUGGUGGCAUGAAGAUGAGUUCCUUCUUCACC